rnacentral:rRNA from 1 species
UACGGAGGGUGCAAGCGUUAUCCGGAUUCACUGGGUUUAAAGGGUGCGUAGGAGGGCAGGUAAGUCAGUGGUGAAAUCUCCGAGCUUAACUCGGAAACUGCCGUUGAUACUAUCUGUCUUGAAUACCGUGGAGGUGAGCGGAAUAUGUCAUGUAGCGGUGAAAUGCUUAGAUAUGACAUAGAACACCAAUUGCGAAGGCAACUCACUACACGAGCAUUGACUCUGAGGCACGAAAGCGUGGGGAUCAAACAGG